rnacentral:misc_RNA from 1 species
GAUGAAGAACGCAGCGAAAUGCGAUAAGUAGUGUGAAUUGCAGAAUUCAGUGAAUCAUCGAAUCUUUGAACGCACAUUGUGCCCCUUGGUAUUCCAUGGGGCAUGCCUGUUCGAGCGUCAUUUGUACCUUCAAGCUCUGCUUGGUGUUGGGUGUUUGUCUCGCCUCUGCGUGUAGACUCGCCUCAAAACAAUUGGCAGCCGGCGUAUUGAUUUCGGAGCGCAGUACAUCUCGCGCUUUGCACUCAUAACGACGACGUCCAAAAGUACAUUUUUACACUCUUGACCUCGGAUCAGGUAGGGAUACCCGCUGAACUUAAGCAUAUCAAUAAGCGGAGGA